rnacentral:misc_RNA from 1 species
UGUGGGAGCGGGCUUGCCCGCGAUAGCGGUCUGUCAGCCAAUAUUUAUUUGACUGACAGACCGCUAUCGCGGGCAAGCCCGCUCCCACA